AGAAGAAGACACCGGCUAACUCCGUGCCAGCAGCCGCGGUAAUACGGAGGGUGCGAGCGUUAAUCGGAAUUACUGGGCGUAAAGCGCAUGCAGGCGGCCGUGUUAAGUCAGAUGUGAAAGACCCGGGGCGUUAACCUCGGAAUUGCAUUUGUAAACUAGGCAGGCUAGAGUCUUGUAGAGGGGGGUAGGAAGUUUCUAGGUGUAGCGGUGAAAUAGCGUAGAGAUCUGAAGGAAUACCAGUGGCGAAGGCGGCCCCCUCGGACAAAGACUGACGCUCAGAUGCGAAAGCGUGGGGAGCAAACAGGAUUAGAUACCCUGGUAG
rnacentral:rRNA from 1 species